rnacentral:lncRNA from 1 species
UUUUAUUUGACUCAAUAAAUUAGUUAUGGAGGUGGAAGACGCUUCUCACCUUCAUAUCCCUCCUUAAGCAUAGGUUAAUUAGGGAACGUCCUCCAAUUAACCACUAAUCAACAAGUUGCCAAGGAACGUCCUUGGGCCUUUGGCAUCUAACAACUGUUAAUUGCAUUAAGAAAUAGAGAGACCUAAUUCUAGCUACCCAAACGUAUGGUGAUAUUGCUAGAUUAUGCAAUUUCUUAGGUUUUUACACCAAGGGUUACUUGUGUUUGAAUAAUUCAAGCAAUUACGGACUUCAAACUAUCCAAACUAACAAAUUAUCACUUUGCAAUCAAGAAUCAAUGGGC